rnacentral:lncRNA from 1 species
CAGCCAACGUCGCAGCCGCAGCCGCAGUCGCAGCCACGGCUGCAACCACCACAGCCGCAGCCUCUUCUUCCUCCCUUGCUCUGUUUCCUCUCCUUCUCUUCUAGCUACAGCUGCCACUACCGCAGCUGCCUCCCCUUCGCCUCUUCCUCUCUUCUUCCCUUUUCCUUUCUCUUCUUCUUCCUUUCCUUCUCUUCUUUCCCAGCUGCACUACUGCAGUCGCAACCUUAGCCACGACCGCAGCUUCUUCUUCCUCCCCUGCUCAUCUUCCUCUCCUUCUUCUCUUCCAACUGCAGCUGCCAUCGCCGCAGCCGCAACCCCUUCUUCCCCUUCUCUUCUUCCUCUCCUUCCCUUCUUCCUUCCUCUCCCUCUUUCCCUGCCACAGCUGCAGCUGCCACAGCCGCAGCCGCUGCUACUUCGUUCCCUUCUCCUCUUCCUUCUCCUACCUUUCUUCUUCUUCUCUUCUUCUCCUUCCUCCCCUUCUUCUCUCCGAUGCACAGCACCUUCUCUCCUCUGUUUCCUCCUGCAGAAAACAGAGGUGCCGCCUCCUCACCCGCUUCUACUUCUUCUCUUCCUCUUCUUCUUCUUCUCCUUCUUCUCCUUCUUCUUCUCCUCUUCUUCCCUUCUCCUACCCGACACC